CGAUGCGGUACGGCGUGGCGAGGCCGAUGGGCGCCAUGGCCACCCACUCCCUUCAACACGCUCACGGGUUGGUUCCUCGAUCGCGCCGCCGGGGCCGGGCCGGGCCGGGCAGGGCAUUGGCCGGCGCACCGCCCCGGUUCCCGAGGACAGCUUGCCCCGACCGGACCGCUCGUGCUCCCUCGCCUGUGGAGGCGGGAACCGACGCGUGUCGGCCGUCGCCGGGUGGUGGACGGUGGACUCGAGUUCCAAGGCAGCGCCCUUGUCGUGGCCUUUUCUGGAUACGUCUCUUUCAUCGUCCCCCUGCGUGCGCCGAAAGGCAUGCUUCUGCUUCCUGACCGUCGCGCCGCUGUCCCAUCGAGAGCUACGAAUCAUCGUGUUGCGGUUAUUACAUCUGGUGAUGCGAUUGAUUACCGCACUCAUGCAACCAAUCAUUUUGAUAUAGGAUCGAUUCUUAUUGUUGCCAUCACAACCUCAGAAGUAUAUAAGCAUUGGUGGCAAAUGUUGCGACCGAAAUGCUGCAGCUGGCCACAAUGAUCGCCACCGAUCCGAUUGAUUGCCUAUUGUUUCCGACGUAAAAGGGAACGGGGAAAUGAAGAAAGACGGAAUAGCUGGAAGCGAUCCACCAUUUCACAAGGUGGAAGAUUCGUUCCUCAGAAUUACAGGUCUUGGCUUCUCCUCCAAAGUUGGGUUUUUGAGAGAAUUGAGCCAACAAAGAUCAGCUGUCGAGCACCAGAAACAACUCAAUCAAUCUCAUGCUCUGGGACAUGCGAAUACCAGGCAGGAAUCAUCCCUUUCUGCCAAGUUGGCCUGGUGAAAAAAAGAAUCCGGCUUACUGGCCUCCUCUGCUUCCUCACGUUCUUCUGCCAUUGACCAGUUCUUGAUGCAGGUAAUGGCAGAGUAGAACUGGCAUCUUAAGAAUUGAAUGUCCUAAUCCAGGUCCACAUUGCUUCGAGAUCAAAUAAGCCCUCUGACGGCUAUAGGAGUCAUCAUCUCCAAGUGUCGAGCAGAGAGAAUUGAAAGAUCUAGCACGCUCGGAGAACAUCCAAUAUGGAGUUGAAUACACGAACAAGUUUGACAACAAAACGACAUGUAGAAGCAAUGGUAGGUUUUCUGCUGCUGCAGUAUCAAUCCAGAUGGGAAUAUGCAGGGCAAUGAAACCUCCAGGCACAGUAUGCAAGCGUCCAAUGUACUGGGGUGACUUCUGCUUCAGAUAUCUGACCAUUGAACUGAAUUCAAGAAGGGAAGAUUGAUUUAGUGGCUUGCCUUUGUAAAGCUUUCAGUUCAUCAUCUAUGAAGAUCUAAUGAUGAAAUUUCUCUUUUCCAGACUUUCUGGUGGGGCACAAAGUGCAUCCUAACAAUUACAUUCAACCAACUGCCUCAGUCUUUGGGGGACAUAAACAAGCAAUCUUGAGGAGCUCAGCCAAUCACCUGGGAGGCUUGUGCUUGAAUGGAGUAGGCAAUAAGGCUACUUUAUUUUGUAGCUCAGAAACCUAGGUCCAUGAUCCUCAGUUUUGAGUCAGAGUCCAAGAUCUACCACUGCACUGUUCCAGCAUCAACCAAGAAUGCAAUCAGGCUAAAUCUCUUGGCCCUAAUCAUCACUGGAAAAGAACAAGAGGGACAUGAGGGAAAGAGAUGGGGUCUGAGCUCCAUCUGAGAUAAAGAUGACACCUCUUGAUUGAUCCAUAAAGCACAUCCACUAAAUAUUGUCCAAGUGGGCCAAAUCUUUUAUUAGUAGACUAUGAACCAACUAAAGCUUUGUUUUGGUCUCUAAAGAAGAAAGCAAGCGGGGAACCCCAAAAGGGUGCAUUGGGACUAUAGAGAACAGUAUCAUAAGUUUUGGCUGCUUCUUUCUUCAACGCUGCAAGCCAUGCGCUGACGCCACCGUUUGCUUCGGAAAUGAGGCAUUGGAAGCGCACAGUGCACAGGUUUAGUCAAUGCUUCAGAGGUGGACAUCAGCUAUUUGCACAACAGAUAACAACAAAUGAUAAGGUGAUGUGAAGAACUCCAAAGUCCACUCUCGAGACACAUCAAUAAUCCAUGGCGGUGGGGUUGUCCUUGGGAUGUGACAGGUGGGUAGUCCUCCAAGUGUAUAAAGUUUUUGACAGACAAAUUUGAUGCACUGUGCACCCCUCUCUCCAUGCAUGCAUUUAUGAGGGAAAAAUAAGAUGUCACAGUGCGGAAAGAAACUACCAGGUGGAAAUUACUGCAAGGCCAUGCCAGUUCUAGUGAUCGUGUAUUGUUCUCCAUGACUAGAAAUGUGAUUGAUUCAUCAACAGACCAUUCUUUUCAUGUGAAAUCAGUGGAUACUAUUCAGAUGGAAGUUUACUGCAACAAACAGAGGUAAGGCUCAGGUAAUUUCUUUGUGGCAUCAGAUAAAGAACAUGUGUAAUGCUCCCACCAAAGCUUUACUGCAGUCAUUUCAAGAAUUGACUGCAUUUUUUGGGUUCUGUGAGAACAAAGCCUACCUUAAACACAGCAGAAUGACUAUUUAAGCCACAUUCAUUUGUUAACAUCUGAACUGCUGCUUGCAAAAGCCAAAGGGGGGGGAGGGGGGUGGGGGCAUUUCCCCAUGUCAACUUUUUGUUGCUUGAGGCUUGUGCUACUUGACAAGAAGAAGACAAUUAAGUGCCUUUGGUCAACAGGAAAAAGAAGACAAGAGAGAAUCUAUCUGAAAGAAGAUAGAGAUAGAAGAGGCUAUGUUAACAGAAAAACAAAUAAAAAUCUCAUUGGAUUGACUAUUUUGUUGGCAGCAGAAAGAUUUUGGUUUGAAUGGAAGAUUGAGUAGCUGAAAUCUUCCUGUGCUGACCUGCCAACAUCUCCAAUGUCAAUGUUCUAAACACAGCCUGACUUCCACAUGACUCCUCCCCAAUGAGAUAGAUGGCUUCUUAUCCAGCUCCUGGUCAAAUUACAGGACCCUUCUUUUCAUAAAUAGUUGUCAAAGUGUUUUCCAUAGGAGGCGAUAAUGAUUUGCUGGAAUGAUGGCGACCAAAUUGAUAGUGUUGAUGAGUGUGGUCCAAUCUAAGCUUCUGUUUGAUUAGGAUAUAUUAUCUUAUGGUAACAAAUUUCAAAGAAAG